AAUUUUAACAUAUAGGGGUGUUUGGUUUAACUUUUCAAAACCCAAAAUCCGGAAAAGUUACAGCCGCCAUCAUCCCGUCGCCAGUUCCUUCAGGCGAUGUACCGACCGCCAACCACCAUAGUUUGUCGUUUAUCCUCCGCUCCACCGCCGUCUCCACCAAAGAAAAUAACAACACCCCCAGGGAAAUCGGCGAUGUACCGACCACCAAACACCACAGUUCGCCGUUUACCCUCUGCUCCACGACCGCCUCCACCAGAAAAAAUAACGACGCCCAGGGAAAUCGGUAACUUGCUACUUUUCACUUCAUUUUGGUUGAUGAUUCACAAAUUGAUGUUCAUGAUAAGUUAUUCACGAUUGUUACCAAUCGUGAUAACUGGGGAUACUAUGUUGUGUUUUUCUGUAUAUUGAAUAUAAAAAUGCCUCUUAUGAGGUAGAAGAAGAUGAAUGGGCUGGACAAGGAGCUGAAAAAGCUCAUGGAGAUUGAUUUGGGGGGCAAUAUACAACAAAACAUGAUAUGAAUCAAGAUAGUUACAAGAAACAACGCCAUGAUGUCGUUAGAGAGAGACAAAAUAAGAAAGAAUUAGAAGUAUUUGUUGGUGGAUUAGAUCGUUAUACAAAUGAAGUUGAUCUUAGAGAUGUUUUUAGUCAAGUGGGUGACACUUUGUUUGUUGGUAACAUUGCAAGACAUGGUCAAAAGAUAUGGUAUGUUGCAUGUUCUGUUUCUUUUAUAUUCAUUUGGAUUCUUUAUUCAUAUGGGAACCGUUUCUGUAAAGAAAUCCCUUUUGGGUGUUGUUGAUGUUGCUUUUGAAGCAUAAUAACUGACUUUUAGUUUUUUUUUCAGUUGAAGGAAGUCAAGUGGGUGACACUUUGUUUGUUGGUAACAUUUGCAAGAUUGAUCUUUUUGCUCUUUGUUUCCGAUGCGUUCAUGUGUUCCUCCAAUCUGAACGUUUUGUUCUUUUUCUAUACUUUCUUUUUAUUUAUAUGUAAUACAUAUGCUUUCCUGUUUUUAGGUAUGUUACAGUGCACACCAACUGUUUGUUGUAAUGUUUCACCUGUUGGAUUGUCAAUUUUAAUUAAAUUAGCUUACACAACUGCUCAAUUUGGGACAAUAUGUCCGGAGAAGUAAUAUUUUUAUCAUGAAAUUGUUAGUUUUCACCACAAACGUAUGUAUGUGUGUGAUUGUUUAUUUGUUUUUGUAGAUAAAUGGAAGCAAUUGUACUGAAUAUGUCAAUGAGUUUGUUGAUGUAGGAUUUUGAAACCAAUCUGAUUGCCCAAAUGGAGCGAUGUCGUAAGCCGGCCAUCAGACCGAUUUCAGGGUUCGCUUUUAUGGCGGGUUCGGCAUCUCCCUUAAUUGUGAUAUAUUAAUGGCUUCUAAAGAUGCUAAAUUUAUCGAUACACAUACCAGGGUUGUUGAUUUUCUAUAAAGCUUAUCAUAUAGCUACGAUUUGUUCCGAUUAGUGAUUACCAUAUUAUGCUAGCCCAAAAAUUUUCUUUUACUUGAAUCUAACUGCCACUAUCAUUCUUUCUAAGUUCUCCCAUGACCUCCGCAUCACCAUUGCUGGUCGUAAUAGGUUUUGCUGUACUUCAUGAGUUAUUUGAGUUUUGUAUACAGUUUUCAUUUGUGGUCCCUUUGUGGUUGAAUGUGUUUUUAGUUAAUCGGGUGGAAUAUGUGUCAAGUUGUAAAUGUUUGCUGUUUUUUUUCCUCCAAUGUCUGUUUCUAUUCUCAAAAGAAAUUCAGUUACAUAUUUGACUUAUUAUAGAUUGGAUGACGCUAUAUUUGUUAUGAAAGAUGUGAAACGAUCAUGUUGAUCAUGUUGGUCACUGAUAAUGAGUAUAAAACUAACUGGCAUUCAAAUUUUGAAGCUCAUUUGGUUACAGCUCUAAAAUGGCAUGUUCUCAUGGACACCCAUAACAGAUACAACUCUACAGGGAAGAACGACAUAUAAGUUACAAAAUAAUACCUUAAUGUAUAACAUAUGUCAAUCUCAUUAAAGGGAUGUUGAAACUGUUAUAGUUAUAUUUUAGAGUCAGACAUGCAACUAACAAAUCAAUUAUGGAAUGGAAUUUCUCAAAAACCUACAUAAGGAGAUUAUGUGCUUCCUUCCAAAUAGUUUAACUACACACUUUUAAUUGCUGAAAAUUUUACAAUUUGUAACUUCAUAUGUGCUGGCAGAUUACAAGAAAGAAUGCGGCAAAAGUCAACAACAUGAAUCAUUUUGAUGACGUGCCUGAUCUGGUGAUCUGAAACAGGUGACUAUUGAAAAAGUUGACAUGAACAUACGUGGUUCUCUCAGAAAGACGCUAUUGGGAUGGAUCCAAAUUUAAAAGACAAGGACAAAAAUACUCCACAUUAUGUUGAUGUGCAAGAUGAGGACAAAUCAGCUCCUUCCCUUCAAGACAUGACACUACUCAAACAGUUCCCUAUUUCUCCUGUUAAGUUGUUAGGAAAGCAUGAUAAGGUGCUUGCUAUUGAUAGAAGAGCCGUGAUGUGAGACCAUCAAAAGCUUAUUGACACAUAUAUGUUGCCCUGAACGGAGCAUUCAGAUAGCUACAAAAUAAGUAGGUGCCGAAGAUAUAAUAUAUGUGGAGUUGUCAAAAAAUUCCAAUUAAAUAAAAACACAAACGGAUUUUUUCCCUAAUUGUAUUUGAGGUGUUGCACUGUAUUACAAACGAAUACGGUCUAACCCCCGCAACGCGGGGCAUCUUUUCUAGUAUAUAUUAAAGAUAUGAAAGUUAGGAAUAGUAAACUUCCUAAGUGUUUAACAA